rnacentral:rRNA from 1 species
UACGAGGGGGGCGAGCGUUGUUCGGAAUUAUUGGGCGUAAAGGGUGCGUAGGCGGUUUUGUAAGUCUUAUGUGAAAUCUAUGGGCUCAACUCAUAGACUGCAUGAGAAACUGCAGGGCUUGAGUAUGGGAGAGGUGAGUGGAAUUCCUGGUGUAGCGGUGAAAAUGCGUAGAUAUCAGGAGGAACACCUGUGGCGAAAGCGGCUCACUGGACCAUAACUGACGCUGAUGCACGAAAAGCUAGGGGGAGCAAACAGG